UUUUAGAAUUUAAUUUAAAGUCUAACCUGCCCACUGAAUAAUUUUAAAUGGCCGCAGUAUCCUAACUGUGCAAAGGUAGCAUAAUCAUUAGUCUUUUAAUUGAAGGCUGGAAUGAAUGGUUGAAUGAAAUAUUAACUGUUUCAUAAAAAUUUAAAAUAAAACUUUAUUUUUUAGUCAAAAAGCUAAAAUGUAAUUAAAAGACGAGAAGACCCUAUAAAUCUUUAUAUUUUAUUAAUUUUAAUUAUUUUGAUAAUUUAAAUUAUAAUUAAUUUAAGUAUUUUAUUGGGGUGAUAUUAAAAUUUAAUAAACUUUUAAUUUUUAAUUAACAUAAAUUAAUGAAUUAUUGAUCCAUUUAUAUGAUUAUCAAAUUAAGUUACUUUAGGGAUAACAGCGUAAUUUUUUUAGAGAGUUCAUAUUGAUAAAAA
rnacentral:rRNA from 1 species